rnacentral:rRNA from 1 species
UACGUAGGGUGCGAGCGUUGUCCGGAAUUAUUGGGCGUAAAGAGCUCGUAGGCGGCUUGUCGCGUCGGAUGUGAAAGCCCGGGGCUUAACUCCGGGUCUGCAUUCGAUACGGGCAGGCUAGAGUUCGGUAGGGGAGAUCGGAAUUCCUGGUGUAGCGGUGAAAUGCGCAGAUAUCGGGAGGAACACCGGUGGCGAAGGCGGUUCUCUGGGCCUGUACUGACGCUGAGGAGCGAAAGCGUGGGGAGCGAAUAGG